UGGUGGCUGAGUUGUAGAAUGGAACUCAUCCAUCUCUGUGUCACCAUGGGAACGCAGCUGAGUGCAGAGAGAGUUCUAGAGAGAGGCUAACCUCUAUCUUCUAGAGUCUGGAGCCAGAGAUUGGGCCCCGUUCUGGCUUGGAAAAUCCUAAUGACAAGAGUAGAUGACCCUAAACGUUAGACCAGUGGAAGAAGACUACAAGAGGAGUGUCCUAUAUGUACAGAUUUUGGAAGGACAGAGAGGCAAAUUUUCUCAUGGGUUAAUUGGACAUUUGGUGAAGUAGCAAGUUCAGAGGAAUCUUGAAAGGACUCUGUCUAAGAGGUCUGCUUAUCAGGACAAGGUGUUUCCAAUAAAGAGUCUGAGUGAGGUAUACCACCAGGACAGCAGUGAGUGUUCUAGGAAUGGUGUUGGAGGUACUAUUGCAUGUUUGUGUGUGUGUGUUCUGAGGUGGGUUCUUUCCCCUAAUUCCAUUCUCCCUCUCUACUACCCCAGUUGUUGAGCCAAAAAAAAUAAAAAAACCUGUUAGUAAUGGGGCAGGUAGGGGAAUAGGGAAGACUGCAAUAAAAACUGGAAAAGUAAAAACAACAACAACAUUUAUAUUAUUGAAGUGAUCAAAAUAUCUAUUGUACUCAGUGCUACUGAUGCCCUCUUAGGUCUCCUUUCUGCCUGACACAUCAGUCUGCCAGCUGCUGUGGAUGCUGGCUGCUAAUAGCUCACAGCUGCUCUGUGCUGCUGAGACUUGCCCUUGGCCAAACAGGAGCCACCUCACCCUGGAAGCUUAUGAAUCUCCCCUUAGUUAAACUAAAGACAACAAGUAUUUUAUAGGGAUGGUCAAAUUUCUGCUGCUGCCAAGAUUGGAUGUUAAAAAUAUUAGAAGUAUUUUUGGGGGUUGGGGGGAGAUAUCUAUUUCUGGUGAUAGUGAAAAAUCUAGAAAAAAAUGUAUCUAACAGAAAAGUCCAUCAGAAGCUUUGAAGAGCUACUAAAGCAACUACAAAUUGAAGGAUCAAGGUCUUGGAGAGAAAAGUAUAAGAGGAUUCAGGCCCAGGUCCUCUCCGUGCCCCAUCCCUGCGUGGAGAGGAUAAAUCUGUGAGUUUAAGGAGUGUGCAGAUUUUCCACCUUUCAGCAAUUCCAGAGACAGCCUGCGAGGAUAUAAAAAGCAAGUGAAGAGCCUGCAGAAACGCAGGUGCAGUUUGGGGUCCCUAUGCCAAAAGUGCAGCAUUUCUUCAAAGCCCUUAACCGUCACCUCUCCUUGCUUGGCCUGGCUGGCAACGCCCCCACCAUUGCCUCUUCAGCCCAGGGGUGAUGCCGCUGGAGUCAUUGGAGUCUGAAAGAGGGAUUCACCUUGACCUUCCUUUUUCCCAGAAGAAGACACAACACAAAUGAGGCCGUCAAAAGCACCACAAUUCCUCCCUCUCAGCAGGUCUCAAAGCCCUCACUCUGACCCUCAUCGAUCAGCCAUAAAACGUAAAAUCAACAGACUUCUGCUUUUCUAUUUCAUGCAGAAAAAUGAACAUUGACCAGCCUCGUCAGCCAAGCUGACGGAAAUAUACAGUACAAAUGGGAGUGCCUACAGGCUCCUCUCUCAGAUCCUCUUAAGCCUCUUCUUUGUCCUGGUCCCAGAUGACAGCUGUGGGGCAGAGCAAAUUCCUGCUGCUAAGUAUGAAGUUCAUCGUCGUCCUGCUCAGAGGAUGCUUCCAGUGACUUGGUGACUGACAGCCGGAAUAAGCAGUUAUUUUUCCAGGCUCAGGUGCAAGAGGCGCAUGCAGCCCACUGCCUGACCUUAUUCAGCUGAGCUUGGCAUUCUGGGGCCAGCUCGCUGCCACCAUUACCUGUUAAGGUUAAAAUAUUGUUGAGUUGAUUGAUGAUGAAGCUCUAUCGUGUUACUCUCCUACUGAAAUAAUUUUUGACUGUGCUCCAUGUGCCACAGAAUCAGAUCCAAAUACCUUCCUCUGACAUUCAUGGCUUGUCAUGGUCUGACCCCAAUCUACCGUCCCAGUUGUACCUCUUAUUACCAGACUUCAUGAGUCCUGUGAUGUGGACAAGCUGAACGGCUCUCUGAAUCUGCCUCUCACUUUCCUUCCUCUGUAGGCACUUAGC
ensembl:lncRNA